UCCCUAGUGGCUAAGAGUUUAUAGCAUCUGCCUGCAAUGUGAAAGACAUGGGUUCAAUCCCCACAUUGGGAA
rnacentral:tRNA from 1 species